GCACGAAUCAGAAUCGCAGAGAGAAAACCUGUGAAAGCAUAGGUUGCUGCCCCACCCUACCCCAGAGUUUCAGAUUCAGUAGCUCUGACUUGGGCCUAAUAAUUUGCCUUUUUACCAAAUUCCCAAGUGACAAUAAUGCUGCAAGUAUGGGGAUGGCAUGUUGGGAAUGACUGAUCUAGACCAGUGAGACAAACCCUUAGAACCAUGUGUCCUCCAGCAUUUCCAUAGACAUCAAAAUGCUAGCCUUUCAUCAUGUUGACAAAGAACUUAGAUUUCCAUAAAAGAUAGAACUCUAGGGCCAGGCGCAGUGGCUCACGCCUGUAAUCCCAGCACUUUGGGAGGCCAAGGUGGUGGAUCACCUGAGGUUCAAAGCUCGAGACAGCCUGACCAACAUGGUGAAAACCUGUCUCUUUAAAAAAAAAAAGAAAGAAAGAAAGAAAAAAAAACAAGAUAGAACUCUAGUGAUGAAGUUCCCAAGGACAGGGACCACGUCUUAUAUGCAUUUGGUACAAUAUGAAUAUAGUACUCAAUGAAGCCAAGGACUUCCCAGGUGUUGGUGAACUGCCUGUGACUCCCCCCGCCACCCCGCCCCGACUCCUCGGGGAAAUGAGUUGAUUGCUGGGCUAGAUGUUUUAGCCAUGGUUCUGCCUCUGUUUUAUUUAGAACGUGCAUUUGUCCUUGACCUUGUUAUGUAUGAAAUAUCUGUAUCACGGGUAUACGGAGAGAAAUAAAGGUGAGAGCGCUCACACAAAAAAAAAAAAAAAGAAAGAAAGAAAGAAAAAAAGCUGUCCCCAGCUUCCCAGCACCAGUUUGCCCACACUCUAGACACGCCUUCGCUCCAGUCCAUUCUGGCACCUAGCCUCAGUCUCCACCCUCCUCCUCUCCUCCACAGGCUCCUUCCCCCAGCCCUCCAAGGCAGCACCGCCACACCACAGAUGGGGGAGGGGAGGGAAGACAGCGAAACAGGCAGAAGCUGGGGAAAGGGGAGCCAGUGUUGGCUCCAAGCUUCUUUACAAUAUGAAUAUAGUAAGAGCAAUUCAUACAAUCUAGAUUUAUGGCAGCAGCAACGCGGAGGAAACCAGAGUGAACCGAGAGCUUAGCGACCAGCAUGAACCUCCUCAACAAGCCCUAGAGUGAGAUGACCCUGGAGGAGCUGCAGAGGCCAGAGGAGGAGAAAUUUUUUUUUUUUUUUUUUUUUUUUGAGACGGAGUUUCGCUCUUGUUACCCAGGCUGGAGUGCAAUGGCGUGAUCUCGGCUCACCGCAACCUCCGCCUCCUGGGUUCAGGCAAUUCUCCUGCCUCAGCCUCCCGAGUAGCUGGGAUUACAGGCACGCGCCACCAUGCCCAGCUAAUUUUUUGUAUUUUUAGUAGAGACGGGGUUUCACCAUGUUGACCAGGAUGGUCUCGAUCUCUUGACUUCGUGAUCCACCCGUCUCGGCCUCCCAAAGUGCUGGGAUUACAGGCUUGAGCCACCGCGCCCGGCCAGGAGGAGGAAUUUAACACGGGUCCACUCUCUGUGCUCACUCAGUCCAUCAAAAACAACACCCAAGUGCUCAUCAACUGCUGCAACAAUAAGAAACUCCUGGGCGACGUGAAGGCCUUCGAUAGGCACUGCAACAUGGUGCUGGAGAACGUGAAGGAGAUGUGGACUGAGGUACCCAAGAGCGGCAAGGGCAAGAAGAAGUCCAAGCCAGUCAACAAAGACCGCUACAUCUCCAAGAUGUUCCUGCGUGGGGACUCAGUCAUCGUGGUCCUGCGGAACCCGCUUAUCGCUGGCAAGUAGGAGCCACCUAUCCCUGUCAGUCAACAGAACUCACUCCCCUGUCCUACAGAGCCGCUGAUGCUGAGAAUAAUAAAGCUCUGUGUUUUUUUCUAGUGGUUAAAAAACAAAUAAACAAACAAACAAAGUCUCUCUUUUCUCUCCCCUUUUUUCCAAAUGAAAAGCCCUAGAAAAAAAGCAACUGGGAAUCAGGGGGUUAUGGCUCCCUCACUUUGUAUCCCUUAUGCCUAAAAAAGACCUGUCAAAAUGUAAGUGCUCAACAAAUACUUGAGGAAAGGGAAGGAAAAAAAAGAGGGAAAGAAAAAAGGGAGGAAGGAAAGAACAGAGGGAGGGAGGGAGAAGGGAGAGAAAGAAAGAAGGAGGAAAAAAACAGGGAGGAGACAUAUAUUCUUAGCUCCAGUUGUAGUUUGCCAUUGGCAUGUCUUGAAAAUGAUUGAGCUGAAUAGCUUUCCAAAGGUAGAAUUUUGUUUCAUUUCAGUUGGGCCUUUAUUCUAGAUGAAGUCCUUCCGGCAAUAAAAAUUCAAAUGACUUCUUAAUAAUAAUAAUGAUAAUAAGUUUUCUAAGUCAAAGUGUUAUGAUACUGUUAGCUUAUACAAUGCAGUUGGCAACUAGGUCACCAUGUGUAAGCAUUAUCUAUAACAUUCUCUUUUUUCUAACUAACUGAUAUAUCAGCAAAUCGAUUUCCCCUGUAAAAAAGAUGGCACCUGCCAACCAGACACAAUCACAGUCUAUUUACCCUGCUAAAUAAUUAAGGCCAGAUAUUUGCCCACAGCAAGUCAACUGUCCCUUAACUAAGAUGUUCCAAGAACUGAUGAGGCUUUGCUGCCUGCCCUGAUGAUGAGACCAAGGUCUACAAGCUUUACAGGAGCCUACUGCAUGCUGGUGAUCUCUGGGAGUCGGGGGGAGGGGAGAUUAAAGGAGAAUCAGAUGCAGCCUAUAGCCCUAGUAAUUGGCAGUUUCUCUAGAGAGAAGAGCAGGUAAAUAAGUAACCGUAUUUUAAGAGAGGUGUGUACAAAGGCUAUGGGAUGGAGGAGAUAGUGUCAAAAUAACUUUUUGGGAGACUCAGGAAAGACUUGGGAAAGGGUGACAUUCAU
ensembl:lncRNA